rnacentral:rRNA from 1 species
CCCGCUGAACUUAAGCAUAUCAAUAAGCGCAGGAAAAGAAACCAACAGGGAUUGCCUCAGUAACGGCGAGUGAAGCGGCACCAGCUCAAAUUUGAAAUCUGGCCUCUCGGGGUCCGAGUUGUAAUUUGUAGAGGAUGUUUUGGGUACCGCCCCGGUCUAAAUUUCUUGGAACAGAAUGUCAGAGAGGGUGAGAAUCCCGUCUUGGACCGGCGGUAGGGCCUGUGUAAAACUCCUUCGACGAGUCGAGUUGUUUGGGAAUGCAGCUCAAAAUGGGUGGUAAAUUUCAUCUAAAGCUAAAUAUUGGCCAGAGACCGAUAGCGCACAAGUAGAGUGAUCGAAAGAUGAAAAGCACUUUGAAAAGAGAGUUAAACAGUAUGUGAAAUUGUUGAAAGGGAAGCGCUUGCAACCAGACUUGCGCGCGGCGGUUCCCCCUUCCUUCUGGUUGGGCUAUUCCGUCGUGUCCAGGCCAACAUCGGUUCUGGGGGUCGGUUAAAGGCUUGGGGAAUGUAUCUUCCCUUCGGGCGUAGACUUAUAGCCCCGAGUGUCAUGCGGCCUCCCGGGACCGAGGAACGCGCUCCGGCUCGGAUGUUGGCGUAAUGGUUGUCAGCGACCCGUCUUGAAACACGG